rnacentral:rRNA from 1 species
UACCAGCACCCCGAGUGGUCGGGACGUUUAUUGGGCCUAAAGCAUCCGUAGCCGGUUCUACAAGUCUUCCGUUAAAUCCAACUGCUUAACAGGUGGGCUGCGGAAGAUACUAUAGAGCUAGGAGGCGGGAGAGGCAAGCGGUACUUAGUGGGUAGGGGUAAAAUCCGUUGAUCCAUUGAAGACCACCAGUGGCGAAGGCGGCUUGCCAGAACACACUCGACGGUGAGGGAUGAAAGCUGGGGGAGCAAACCGG